UACAGAGGGUGCAAGCGUUGUUCGGAAUCAUUGGGCGUAAAGGGCGUGUAGGCGGUAUGUUAAGUCAUGUGUGAAAUCCCUCGGCUCAACCGGGGAACGACGCAUGAAACUGGCAAGCUAGAGUACCAAAGAGGCUCGUGGAAUUCCCGGUGUAGAGGUGAAAUUCGUAGAUAUUGGGAAGAACACCGGUGGCGAAGGCGGCGAGCUGGUCUGAUACUGACGCUGAGGCGCGACAGCGUGGGGAGCAAACGGG
rnacentral:rRNA from 1 species